CUAAUACCCCAUACGAUCUGNGGAUGAAAGGCNGGGAUUNUCNGACCUNGUGCUAUUGGAAUGGCCGAUAUCUGAUUAGCUAGUUGGUGGGGUAAAAGCCUACCAAGGCGACGAUCAGUAGCUGGUCUGAGAGGACGACCAGCCACACUGGAACUGAGACACGGUCCAGACUCCUACGGGAGGCAGCAGUGGGGAAUUUUGGACAAUGGGGGCAACCCUGAUCCAGCAAUGCCGCGUGAGUGAAGAAGGCCCUCGGGUUGUAAAGCUCUUUUGUCAGGGAAGAAACGGAGUUCUCUAAUAUAGGAUUCUAAUGACGGUACCUGAAGAAUAAGCACCGGCUAACUACGUGCCAGCAGCCGCGGUAAUACGUAGGGUGCAAGCGUUAAUCGGAAUUACUGGGCGUAAAGCGUGCGCAGGCGGUUUUGUAAGUCUGAUGUGAAAUCCCCGGGCUCAACCUGGGAACUGCAUUGGAGACCGCAAGGCUAGAGUGUGUCAGAGGGGGGUAGAAUUCCACGUGUAGCAGUGAAAUGCGUAGAGAUGUGGAGGAAUACCGAUGGCGAAGGCAGCCCCCUGGGAUAACACUGACGCUCAUGCACGAAAGCGUGGGGAGCAAACAGGAUUAGAUACCCUGGUAGUCCACGCCCUAAACGAUGUCUACUAGUUGUCGGGACUUAAUUGUCUUGGUAACGCAGCUAACGCGUGAAGUAGACCGCCUGGGGAGUACGGUCGCAAGAUUAAAACUCAAAGGAAUUGACGGGGACCCGCACAAGCGGUGGAUGAUGUGGAUUAAUUCGAUGCAACGCGAAAAACCUUACCUACCCUUGACAUGGCAGGAAUCCCGAAGAGAUUUGGGAGUGCUCGCCAGANAACCUGCACACAGGUGCUGCAUGGCUGUCGUCAGCUCGUGUCGUGANAUGUUGGGUUAAGUCCCGCAACGAGCGCACCCUUGUNAUUAGUUGUUNCNAAA
rnacentral:rRNA from 1 species